rnacentral:rRNA from 1 species
GUAGGGAAUCUUCCGCAAUGGACGAAAGUCUGACGGAGCGACGCCGCGUGAGUGAAGAAGGCCUUCGGGUCGUAAAGCUCUGUCAUCAGGGACGAACGGCCGGUGGAGUGGAAAGCCACCGGAUUGACGGUACCUGAGAAGGAAGCCACGGCUAACUACGUGCCAGCAGCCGCGGUAAUACGUAGGUGGCAAGCGUUGUCCGGAAUUAUUGGGCGUAAAGCGCGCGCAGGUGGGAUCUUAAGUCCAUUUUUAAAGUUCGGAGCUCAACUCCGUGAUGGGAUGGAAACUGGGAUUCUUGAGUACCGGAGAGGAAAGCGGAAUUCCCCGUGUAGCGGUGAAAUGCGUAGAUAUGGGGAGGAACACCAGUGGCGAAGGCGGCUUUCUGGACGGUGUCUGACACUGAGGCGCGAAAGCCAGGGGAGCGAACGGGAUUAGAAACCCGUGUAGUCC